rnacentral:rRNA from 1 species
CCUACGGGUGGCAGCAGUGAGGAAUAUUGGUCAAUGGACGUAAGCCUGAACCAGCCAAGUCGCGUGAGGGAUGAAGGUUCUAUGGGUCGUAAACCUCUUUUAUAAGGGAAUAAAGUUCGGGACGUGUCCCGAUUUGUAUGUACCUUAUGAAUAAGGAUCGGCUAACUCCGUGCCAGCAGCCGCGGUAAUACGGAGGAUCCGAGCGUUAUCCGGAUUUAUUGGGUUUAAAGGGUGCGUAGGCGGACUUUUAAGUCAGCGGUGAAAGGCUGUGGCUCAACCAGGGAACUGCCGUUGAUACUGGGGGGCUAGAGAAUGGUUGCGGCAGGCGGAAUGCGUGGUGUAGCGGUGAAAUGCUUAGAGAUCACGCAGAACACCGAUUGCGAAGGCAGCCUGCCAAGCCAUGACUGACGCUGAUGCACGAAAGCGUGGGGAUCAAACAGGAUUAGAUACCCGAGUAGUC